rnacentral:rRNA from 1 species
CCUACGGGAGGCAGCAGUGGGGGAUAUUGCACAAUGGGGGGAACCCUGAUGCAGCGACGCCGCGUGGGUGAAGAAGCGCCUCGGCGCGUAAAGCCCUGUCAGCAGGGAAGAAAAUGACGGUACCUGAAGAAGAAGCCCCGGCUAACUACGUGCCAGCAGCCGCGGUAAUACGUAGGGGGCAAGCGUUAUCCGGAUUUAUUGGGUUUAAAGGGUGCGUAGGCGGGAUGCCAAGUCAGCGGUCAAAUACGGGGGCUCAACCUGCGUCCGCCGUUGAAACUGGCGUUCUUGAGUGGGCGAGAAGUACGCGGAAUGCGUGGUGUAGCGGUGAAAUGCAUAGAUAUCACGCAGAACCCCGAUUGCGAAGGCAGCGUACCGGCGCCCGACUGACGCUGAAGCACGAAAGCGUGGGUAUCGAACAGGAUUAGAUACCCCUGUAGUC